GGACUGUGGCUCAGUGGUAGAGCACUCACCCAGCACACGUGAGGCACUGGGUUCGAUCCUCAGAACCA
rnacentral:tRNA from 1 species